GAAGCAUUUUGCUGUGUGCAUGCGUGAGCGCACUGCAAGUGAGUCCAAAACCAUUUUCCGUGUGAUGCUGAGGAUCAGG